UAUUAUAGUCUUAAAAAAUGUUGACGUUCUAAAAAAGUAUUUUCCCUUAUAUAAAAGAGACAUAAGAUUGUAUAUUUGCUUUCCUUUGGAGAUAUAUGUUGUAAGAUUCUUUUUUCAUGUGCACUUUCCUAUAAUAAAUAUAAUUUUCUUAAUUUAUAAUUAUUUACGAGUUAAGAUGGAUUUAACUACUUUUUUUCAAUAAAAUAAAAAGAAAAUACAAAGGUAUUAUAGUCUUCACAAAUGUUAACAUUCUAAAGAAGCCCUUUCCUCAUCCUCUCCAAAAAAUAUAAUAAUCUCCUCAAAGCCCCUUCAUAUAAUUUUAUCAGGGACUGUAAUCCAAUUCCGUGCUCCUAGCAGGUUCAUUCCCGACCAUUAAUGGGGACGAUGCCCAUUUACCCCUCAUGUUUCGUGUGUUUAGCCUUCCUCUCAUUUCUUUUCAUGUUCUUGAACAAAGUAUGGUGGACUCCAGUCCGCAUACAGUCUAUGAUGAGGUCACAAGGAAUCAAAUGCCCUUCUUACAAAUUCAUCCAUGGAAACUCCAAAGAGAUUACCAAUAUGAGAACGAGUGUCGUGAGCUUUCCAUUGGAUUUAUCACAUGUUCAUGAGUUGCUCCCCAGAGUACAGCCACACAUUCACGCAUGGAUCAAGCUAUAUGGGAUGAAUUUUCUGUUCUGGCAAGGUCCUCACGCCCUGCUUGUUGUGACGGAACCUGAUCUGAUUAAACAAGUCCUUAACAAUAAAAACGGAGAAUUCCGAAAGAGAGACCCUACAUUUUACAUAUGAAGAAGCUAUUGGGGGGUGGAAGUGUAGCAAGCAAGGGUGAAAAACGGUUCAAGCUGCAAAAAAUAUCGAACCAUGCUUUCCAUGCAGGGUGCUUGAAAGCAGUGCUAUUUUUAUUUUCAGUUUUCAUAAUUGUUUUCGAAGUUCUUACAGAUUAAAACAACUCAUAUAGAUCAAAGAAUUUCUCUUCUUUCACAGAACAUGAUUCCGGCAUUCAUUGCCAGUGUCGAGGUGAUGCUAGAAAGAUGGAGACAGCACGAUGGCAAGGAGAUUGAGUUGUCUCAUGAGUUUAAGAUUUUGACAUCAGAAAUGAUUUCCAGGACAGCUUUUGGAAGCAGCUACCUGGAAGGACAACAUAUAUUUGACAUGUUGGAAACAAUGGUUGACAUUGUUGUCAGGAACAAUUUUAAAAUGACAAUUCCUGUAAUCGGGUACGGUUCCUACCUUACUCCAAUUCCUUCAUAUCCAUUUGUGCCUUGUUAAAUGUGGUGGCCAUAGACAGAAGUUGUAAUUGGUUUGCAAAUCUAUUGAUCUACCUUCUAUAAGUGCAGAACCUUUCUGACUUCUGAAUUAUCGCUUCCAGAAAAUUUGUGAAAUUAAGUGCUGAUGACAUUGAAUCAGACAAGCUUCAGCAAGACAUAAGCAAUUGCUUCCUAAAUAUGAUUAAUAGCAGAGAGAAAGCAGCCAUGGAGGGCAAAUGGGAUGGCUUGGAAGUGAUUUUCUUGGAUUACUGUUGUCGGCUCGUCAUGACACCGAUAAGGCAAAAGGAAUAUCUGUUGAAGACGUGAUUGAUGAAUGCAAAUCCUUCUAUGCUGGUGGGACAUGAAACAAUUACCAGAGCCUCACUCGCCUGGACUUUUCUUCUUCUGGCAAUUUACACAGAUUGGCAAGAUAAAGCAAGGAAGGAGGUCCUCUAAUUGUUUGGUCUGCAAAAUCCAAGCCCAGAAGGCAUCACAAAAUUGAAGAUUGUAAGCACAACAUCUUUUAGCAAAAAAUCUCGGUGGCAUUGCUCGAGGAAAUGCCAUGCGUCCUCGCUACAUUUCUGUCCUGCAUUUAUAUAUAUUUACCAACAUAGAGAAUUUGAACAAGUAUAUUAUUGCUAAGAUUCUGCGUAUUAAUUUUCAGCUGAUCAACAUCCAAGUUUUCACUCAUUUCUUCCUGUAGGUAAGCAUGAUUAUCAAUGAAUCUCUACGAUUAUAUUGUCCUGCUGUUCAGAUCGCAAGGAUAGUCCACAAGGAAGUAAGAUUGGGGACGUUUAUUCUUCCAGCGAACACGGAAAUCGUUGUUCCAAUUGGCGCAGUUCACCAUAGCCCUGGAAUAUGGGGAGAAGAUGCUAGCCAUUUCAAGCCAGAGAGAUUUGCAGAUGGAGUUGCUAAAACAACAACGUGGCUGCAUUUCUUGAAUUUGGAAUGAGGGCUCGGAAUUGUGUGGGGUCAAACUUCUCAAUUACUGAAACAAAGAUUGCGCUCGCAAUGAUCCUGCAGCGUUACAGGUUUACUUUUAUCUCCAACGUACGUCCACUCAACCUCUUUCAAUGUCCCCGCUACAUGGAGUACAAGUCAUGCUCGAGGCCUUGUAAAUCCCCACCGUAUUGGAUGUGAGGAAAAUUGGGGGAGGAGGAGCAGGAAGUACGGUGGAAAUAUCAUGCUGCUCUUGUAGAAGAGAAAUCAGAUUACUCUCAACGCAUCUUUGUCCUAGUCUAAAAUAAAUAUAUAAAAUGGAUGUCAAAGAAGUCAAUUGAAAUGUGCCACAUGCUUAAUGCAUCUCCCAUGAACCCCUUGACGGUGUUAGAGAUGGAAACAAA